GAUUUGAUCGGGGUAUCCUUC
rnacentral:misc_RNA from 1 species